UCAUUUACAGGAGUGUAAGAAUCUGGUUUGUGAAUUCAGCCAGGGUCGUGGGUUUUGAGCAUAUGUACGCUUAGCCUGUAAAGGGGCAUAUGAGCCAAUGGUGAGGAUAGUAUGUGAUUAUACUCACUUACCAGGGUAUCAGGAACAGACAUCUCCUUAAAGGAAGUGAGACUGGACCUGAAAGACUGAGCUAAGGCUGGAAGGUCAAUGUCAUGUAUAGCCCGAACUAAGACAGUGGGGAAGAAGCAGUUGGGCAUGGAAAGUGAGAGAUGGAUAAUGUAACCAAAAGGUGAUCGGAAAGGGCGAAGGGUUCACUGUUAAAACCAAAGAGAGAGAGUUUUUUAGUAAAGACUAGAUCCAGAAAGUGGUCAUCCUUAUGAGUAAGGGUGUUUGUCCACUGCUGGAGCUCAAAGGAGGCGGAGAAAACGAGAGGACCAGGGUUGUGAAGCAUCAUUGAUGUGGAAGUUAAAAUCCCCAAGGUUGAUUGGAGGGCUGUCAGUGGAUAGGAAGAAAGAAAGCCAGGUGUCAAAGCCAGAAAGGAAGGCAGCACAGGAGGAGGCUGAAGGGGGUUUGUAAAUGACAGCAACACGUACAGAGAGAGGGUUGAAAAGGGUAUGCACCUCAAAAGAGUAAAAUGAGAAGGCUGGAGGAAUAGGAAUAGUUUUGAACCGACAGCGAGAGGAGAACUCCAACUUUCCCACCACGUCCAAUGGUUCGGGGGGUGUGAGAGAAAGAGAGACCACCAUGAGAGAGAGUGCACCUUCAAUGGCGGUAUCUUUCUGUGAGAGCCAGGUUUCUGUUAUUGCAAGAAGAGUUACUAAUAUAUAUUGCAGUGAGAGCUUGUCGAAGGGUUUGGACUGGUUGGCGACAUUUGAGAAAGCCAACCUGAUUUUCGGUGCGUCAAGGAUUUCACAGUCUUGAACUGAUAGUUUUGUGAAGUCAGCUUCCUGUGGGAAUUUCAGACCAUCGUUUGGAUCAUCCGUCGGGGCUUCAUAACGUUUUUUAAAAUGAUCAGUUAUGAUAUGCCUAAUUUGUUUUGGAUCUCAUGUUUUUGUAUAUAAGUGGUUUGAGUUUGUCAUUUUGCUAUGUAUGCUAAUAGUUUGCCAGAUUUGUUACCGUACCUAUAAAAUUGGUUUGUUGUGUUGUAAGCCCUUCCAGUCAAUAAAGUAUCAAAAAGUG